rnacentral:rRNA from 1 species
GUGGGGAAUAUUGGACAAUGGGCGCAAGCCUGAUCCAGCCAUGCCGCGUGUGUGAAGAAGGCCUUCGGGUUGUAAAGCACUUUCACUUGGGAAGAAAAGCUCACUGUUAAUAGCGGUGAGCCGUGACAUUACCUUGAGAAGAAGCACCGGCUAACUCCGUGCCAGCAGCCGCGGUAAUACGGAGGGUGCGAGCGUUAAUCGGAAUUACUGGGCGUAAAGCGCGCGUAGGCGGUUUGUUAAGUCAGCUGUGAAAGCCCCGGGCUCAACCUGGGAACUGCAGUUGAUACUGGCCGACUAGAGUACGAGAGAGGGAGGUAGAAUUCCAUGUGUAGCGGUGAAAUGCGUAGAUAUAUGGAGGAAUACCGGUGGCGAAGGCGGCCUCCUGGCUCGAUACUGACGCUGAGGUGCGAAAGCGUGGGGAUCAAACAGGAUUAGAUACCCCAGUAGUCC